GUUUUAUUCAUUUAAAAAAGGCUAGGAGCUUUUGUGGGUUGAUGAAUUACCUAAAAUCCUUUUCCCCAAAUCAGACCGUGGUUGUUUUGUUUGUGUGGGAGGUGAGUUUCUUGGUUGCGUUUCUGUAUGGGAGGAGAACAGUGAAGGUCCGAAAUCUAUCUUCAUUACUAAAGGACUCUCUUAGUGGAUUUCAAGCGUUGGUGUAGUUGUUGUUCGGCAGUUUCAUUCUGCAAGAAAAAAAGAAACAAGAACUGAGAGAACUGAGAAGGGAAUAUUUUAACGCCAUAUUGGAAGGUUUGGUGAACUUGAUUUUGUACCGAUUCAUCCGACAUUUUACUAAAGCUCACGGUGGUAACAUUUUUUUUUUCUUCUAACAUAACAUUUUUCUGCUUUUUUAUUUCUCU